rnacentral:rRNA from 1 species
GAUCCUGGCUUAGGAUGAACGCUAGCUACAGGCUUAACACAUGCAAGUCGAGGGGCAGCAUGAGAUUAGCUUGCUAAUCUUGAUGGCGACCGGCGCACGGGUGAGUAACGCGUAUCCAACCUUCCCCUUAGUAGGGCAUAGCCCGGCGAAAGUCGGAUUAAUACCCUAUGUUUUCCAAUGAGGACAUCUGAGCUGGAACAAAGAUUCAUCGCUAAGGGAUGGGGAUGCGUCUGAUUAGGUAGUCGGCGGGGUAACGGCCCACCGAGCCUACGAUCAGUAGGGUUCUGAGAGGAAGGUCCCCCACAUUGGAACUGAGACACGGUCCAAACUCCUACGGGAGGCAGCAGUGAGGAAUAUUGGUCAAUGGACGAGAGUCUGAACCAGCCAAGUAGCGUGCAGGAUGACGGCCCUAUGGGUUGUAAACUGCUUUUAUCAGGGGAUAAAGUGAGGGACGUGUCCCUUUUUGUAGGUACCUGAUGAAUAAGGACCGGCUAAUUCCGUGCCAGCAGCUGC